rfam:Listeria monocytogenes EGD-e, complete genome
UAGAGAUAUUCUUACACAACGUGAGUAUCAUUAAGUUUUUUGGUCAUAAGAUAAUACUCAUUAUGAGUUACUAUUCACAUUUUAA